CAAUAGCGUAUAUUAAAGUUGUUGCAGUUAAAAAGCUCGUAGUUGGAUUUCUGAAUGGAUGCCGAUGCCCGCCUGUUGGCGUGUGCAAAGGUGCCUGUUCAUCCUUCUGUUAAGGUUUCUUAGUAUUCAUUUACUGGUUUCCGGCUCAGAUAUUUUACCUUGAAUAAAUUAGAGUGUUUCAGGCAAGCUUGGUCUUGAAUACAUUAGCAUGGAAUAAUAGAAUAGGACUCUAGAUCCUUUGUUGGUUUCUGGAUUUGGAGUAAUGAUUAAUAGGGAUAGUUGGGGGCAUUAGUAUUUAAUUGUCAGAGGUGAAAUUCUUGGAUUUAUUAAAGACUAACUUAUGCGAAAGCAUUUGCCAAGGAUGUUUUCAUUA
rnacentral:rRNA from 1 species